UGGGGAAUAUUGCGCAAUGGGGGAAACCCUGACGCAGCCAUGCCGCGUGAAUGAAGAAGGCCUUCGGGUUGUAAAGUUCUUUCGGUAUUGAGGAAGGUUGAUGUGUUAAUAGCACAUCAAAUUGACGUUAAAUACAGAAGAAGCACCGGCUAACUCCGUGCCAGCAGCCGCGGUAAUACGGAGGGUGCGAGCGUUAAUCGGAAUAACUGGGCGUAAAGGGCACGCAGGCGGUUAUUUAAGUGAGGUGUGAAAGCCCUGGGCUUAACCUGGGAAUUGCAUUUCAGACUGGGUAACUAGAGUACUUUAGGGAGGGGUAGAAUUCCACGUGUAGCGGUGAAAUGCGUAGAGAUGUGGAGGAAUACCGAAGGCGAAGGCAGCCCCUUGGGAAUGUACUGACGCUCAUGUGCGAAAGCGUGGGGAGCAAACAGGAUUAGAUACCCUGGUAGUCCACGCUGUAAACGCUGUCGAUUUGGGGGUUGGGGUUUAACUCUGGCGCCCGUAGCUAACGUGAUAAAUCGACCGCCUGGGGAGUACGGCCGCAAGGUUA
rnacentral:rRNA from 1 species